UACAGAGGGGGCAAGCGUUGUUCGGAAUUACUGGGCGUAAAGGGCGCGUAGGCGGCCGACUAAGUCAGACGUGAAAUCCCCAGGCUCAACCUGGGAACUGCGUCUGAUACUGGAUGGCUUGAGUCCGGAAGAGGAGAGUGGAAUUCCUGGUGUAGCGGUGAAAUGCGCAGAUAUCAGGAAGAACACCCGUGGCUAAGGCGGCUCUCUAGUACGGUACUGACGCUGAGACGCGAAAGCGUGGGGAGCGAACAGG
rnacentral:rRNA from 1 species